GGCUUUUUCCUGUGGCACUGGCAGAUGGUUGUGCUAUCUUCUGGCUGAGGAACAAGUUCCAUUCCAUCACGUACUUCGGGUUUGCUGGACUGGCGCUCGGCAUAUUUCUGAAAUGUGGGUUUAAAGGGAACUGAAAGUUUUAGAGCUGAGGAGAUAGAAACCUGGAGACAUUUAAGGACUUGGGCAAUGCUGGCAACAUAGUAGAAGAAGACUCAAAUGCAUACCUUAAAGAAAUCAAAGAAACCCAUCAACUUGGCUUUUCCAAGCUCCUUUUCUUUCUCUUGGAAAAAGAAAUAUCCUGUAAUUCCUG